AUACGUAGGUGACAAGCGUUAUCCGGAUAUACUGGGCGUAAAGGGCGUGUAGGCGGUCUUGCAAGUCAGAAGUGAAAUUCCUGAGCUCAACUCGGGCGCUGCUUCUGAAACUGCAGGACUUGAGUGCUGGAGGGGAUAGCGGAAUUCCUAGUGUAGCGGUGAAAUGCGUAGAUAUUAGGAGGAACACCAGUGGCGAAGGCGACUUUCUGGACAGUAACUGACGCUGAGGUACGAAAGCGUGGGGAGCAAACAGGAUUAGAUACCCUGGUAGUCCACGCAGUAAACGAUGAUGGCUAACCGCUGGAUCCAUCGGUUCAGUGGCCAAGCGAAAGCGAUAAGCCAUCCACCUGGGGAGUACGACCGCAAGGUUGAAACUCAAAGGAAUUGGCGGGG
rnacentral:rRNA from 1 species